rnacentral:rRNA from 1 species
CUCCAGUUGAUCGCAUGGUCUUCUGGGAAAGCUUUCGCGGUAUGGGAUGGGGUCGCGUCCUAUCAGCUUGACGGCGGGGUAACGGCCCACCGUGGCUUCGACGGGUAGCCGGCCUGAGAGGGCGACCGGCCACAUUGGGACUGAGAUACGGCCCAGACUCCUACGGGAGGCAGCAGUGGGGAAUAUUGCACAAUGGGCGCAAGCCUGAUGCAGCGACGCCGCGUGAGGGAUGGAGGCCUUCGGGUUGUAAACCUCUUUUAUCGGGGAGCAAGCGAGAGUGAGUUUACCCGUUGAAUAAGCACCGGCUAACUACGUGCCAGCAGCCGCGGUAAUACGUAGGGUGCAAGCGUUAUCCGGAAUUAUUGGGCGUAAAGGGCUCGUAGGCGGUUCGUCGCGUCCGGUGUGAAAGUCCAUCGCUUAACGGGG